rnacentral:rRNA from 1 species
UGUAGCAAUACAAGGCAGACGGCUCAGUAACGCGUAGUCAACCUAACCUAUGGACGGGAAUAACCUCGGGAAACUGAGAAUAAUGCCCGAUAGAGCACUAUAUCUGGAAUGGUUUGUGUUCCAAAUGAUUUAUCGCCGUAGGAUGGGACUGCGGCCUAUCAGUUUGUUGGUGAGGUAAUGGCCCACCAAGACUAUUACAGGUACGGGCUCUGAGAGGAGUAGCCCGGAGAUGGGUACUGAGACACGGACCCAGGCCCUAUGGGGCGCAGCAGGCGAGAAAACUUUGCAAUGUGCGAAAGCACGACAAGGUUAAUCCGAGUGGUUUGUGCUAAACGAACCUUUUGUCGGUCCUAGAAACACCGAUGAAUAAGGGGUGGGCAAGUUCUGGUGUCAGCCGCCGCGGUAAAACCAGCACCUCAAGUGGUCAGGAUGAUUAUUGGGCCUAAAGCAUCCGUAGCCGGCGCUGUAAGUUUUCGGUUAAAUCUGUACGCUCAACGUACAGGCUGCCGGGAAUACUGCAGCGCUAGGGAGUGGGAGAGGUAGACGGUACUCGGUAGGAAGGGGUAAAAUCCUUUGAUCUAUUGAUGACCACCUGUGGCGAAGGCGGUCUACCAGAACACGUCCGACGGUGAGGGAUGAAAGCUGGGGGAGCAAACCGGAUUAGAUACCCGGGUAGUCCCAGCUGUAAACUAUGCAAACUCAGUGAUGCAUUGGCUUGUGGCCAAUGCAGUGCUGCAGGGAAGCCGUUAAGUUUGCCGCCUGGGAAGUACGUACGCAAGUAUGAAACUUAAAGGAAUUGGCGGGGGAGCACCACAAGGGGUGAAGCCUGCGGUUCAAUUGGA